rnacentral:lncRNA from 1 species
ACUCUGAAAUAGUGCUUUUCUUGGCUCUAGCUGUCAAACUGUUACUUUUACAUACCUAAAUGUUCUAAACCUUUACUCUGCAGGAAGCCCAGAAAAUUAAUGGCAGUGGGGACACCCAGGCUGAUGGCACUUGCAAACCUACGGAUGAAAAAGAAGAGACUGUGGCAGCAGAAGUGGGCUGGAUGACCUCUGUAAAAGACUGGGCAGGAGUGAUGAUAUCUGCUCAGACUUUAACUGGCAGAGUUCUUCUCAUGAUCAGCAUUACAAAGGAAGAAUACCUGCUUCUGUUUCUGAAGAAGUGUAAUUGGUCAUCUGUUCAACAGGGGAAGUGUCUGUGUUCCUUUCCUGAAGCACAGUCCUCAGAAAAAGGAGGGGCAAGAAACAUCUAUCAGAAUUUCUACCCACACCCCAGCCUAGGCAGAGGGGAAAAAAACCCCAUCAUCUCAAGACACUGGAGACAAGUGGAUACAGCCUAGGACUAGGAUUUGGACACAAAUUUCUGUUUUCUGCUCUUCCACCUACUCUUGGUGACCUUGAGCAGGUAAUUUGAUAUCAUUUUCUUUAUUGGUAAAAUAGGGAUGAAAAGUAGUUUUCUUUACCCAUAUAGCUCCUUAAAAUCUGUGAAUGAAAAAUGCUGUGUUUAUGCCAAGCAGUAGUAUUAAUAUGAAACCUCUCAACCAUUCCAGCAGAAAUAAUCUUCAGACCAGUGG